GGAUAACCUACCCUUAGGACUGGGAUAACCCUGGGAAACUGGGGAUAAUACUAGAUAGGCAAUUUUUCCUGGAAUGGUUUUUUGUUUAAAUGUUUUUUCGCCUAAGGAUGGGUCUGCGGCCGAUUAGGUAGUUGGUUAGGUAACGGCUUACCAAGCCAUUGAUCGGUACGGGUUGUGAGAGCAAGAGCCCGGAGAUGGAACCUGAGACAAGGUUCCAGGCCCUACGGGGUGCAGCAGGCGCGAAACCUCCGCAAUGUGAGAAAUCGCGACGGGGGGAUCCCAAGUGCCAUUCUUAACGGGAUGGCUUUUCAUUAGUGUAAAGAGCUUUUGGAAUAAGGGCUGGGCAAGACCGGUGCCAGCCGCCGCGGUAACACCGGCAGCUCUAGUGGUAGCAGUUUUUAUUGGGCCUAAAGCGUCCGUAGCCGGUUUAAUAAGUCUCUGGUGAAAUCCUGUAGCUUAACUGUGGGAAUUGCUGGAGAUACUAUUAGACUUGAGACCGGGAGAGGUUAGAGGUACUCCCAGGGUAGAGGUGAAAUUCUGUAAUCCUGGGAGGACCGCCUGUUGCGAAGGCGUCUAACUGGAACGGUUCUGACGGUGAGGGACGAAAGUUAGGGGCGCGAACCGGAUUAGAUACCCGGGUAGUCCUAACUGUAAACGAUGCGGACUUGGUGUUGGGGUGGCUUU
rnacentral:rRNA from 1 species